rnacentral:lncRNA from 1 species
GGAAAAUGGCGGCCUCCUUGCUGCUUGCGUUACCAGAGUCCACCCGGCCUCGUGCUUUCUCCGGGCGCCCGUAGCUGGCGCCGGCAUCCACAAAAAUAGAUCAGAGUGGAUGUGCGUUGAAAGCAGUCUAGGAGGACAUACACUAAAAUGCUGAGUAUCUCUGGAUGGCGGCGGCGUUGAGGAUAGAGGAUGAAUAAAGAGGAAGCUCCAGGCUGUGAAGUGUCUAAUCCUUGCUCCCCUCAGAAGUUGGGACAUGUUGGACCAAGGUGGUAAGGAUAGUGAGGUAUGGCUUUACCUUGUACAAUUCAAAACAAUCAUAUUCCU